rnacentral:lncRNA from 7 species
CCCGCACAUACGUGAUCUCUACACGCGUGUUCCUGUGUUGUAUGCGUGUUCUGAUGCGGCUUUCUCCUCUUAUACACAUGUGACAUUCUACAUACAUGAUGCCAUGUCACACGCAUGUUCUGAUCACUUCUGUGUUCACACAUGUGACGCUUCACACACGUGCUCACAUGUCACACACGUGUUCUCACGCGGUUCGGUGCUCACUUCCAUCCCUGCGACACUCAACACGCGUGUGCUCCCAUCACACGCGUGUUCCAAUGCACUUCUGUGUUCUCUUACCCAUGCGUGAUGCCCUACACAGGUUCCCAUGGCACACGCGUGUGCUCUCACAGAGCUCUUCACACACGUGACCUCACAUACGUGUCCCCACGUCACACAUGUGUGGCCUCAUAUACGUGUCCCCAUGUCAAACAGGUGAUCUCACGUGUCCCCAUGUUACACGCGUGACCUCACACAUGUGUGUCCCCAUGGCACACACGUGUGCUCUCAUGGAGCUCCGUGCCCCUUCACACACGUGUGACCUCACACAUACGUGUCCCCAUGUCACACACGUGUGGCCUCACAUACGUGUCCCCAUGUCAAACAGGUGAUCUCACGUGUCCCCAUGUUACACACGUGACCUCACACACACGUGUCCCCAUGUUACACACGUGACCUCACACAUAUGUGUCCCCAUGGCACACGUGUGCGCUCUCACGGAGCUCCG